rnacentral:pre_miRNA from 1 species
ACACCGGCGGUCUCUAAUUCGCUUGGUGCAGGUCGGGAACCGCUUCGCUCAGCCUACGGUUUACGUUUCUCGUUGGCCGGUCCUUCUUCAUCUUCCUUUCUUGUUCUUCUCUGCUUUUGUUUUUUUGCUUAAUUUCUUUGCCGCUGUGCGGUGUUAUGUUGUUGGAAAAAUGUGUGGGCGAAUUGGAUCCCGCCUUGCAUCAACUGAAUCGGAAACCGUGGUGAAG